GCUUAUAUAUUAUAUUCUAAAAUAUUAGUUUCUUAGAUAAAUUAUAUUAUAAGUUUAUAGCUUUAUUAUAAAAAGAUUAUCUUAGCUUAACUUUAAUAAUAAAAGGUUAUAAAGGUUCUAAGUUUAAACUAAAAUACUUUAAGGCUUAUUAUUAUUUUUUAUUUUAUUUCUAUUAUAUAUAAUAUUACUUUUUAAUUAACUAAAAGUUAUAAAUAAAACCUUUAUUAUAGGCU
rnacentral:tRNA from 1 species